AAUGCACCAAUUUGUAAGUCGCUCUGGAUAAGGGCGUCUGCUAAAUGACUUAAA
rfam:Salmo salar isolate Sally breed double haploid chromosome ssa09, whole genome shotgun sequence.